GACGAACGCUGGCGGCGUGCUUAACACAUGCAAGUCGAACGGAAAGGCCCUGCUUUUGUGGGGUGCUCGAGUGGCGAACGGGUGAGUAACACGUGAGUAACCUGCCCUUGACUUUGGGAUAACUUCAGGAAACUGGGGCUAAUACCGGAUAGGAGCUCCUGCUGCAUGGUGGGGGUUGGAAAGUUUCGGCGGUUGGGGAUGGACUCGCGGCUUAUCAGCUUGUUGGUGGGGUAGUGGCUUACCAAGGCUUUGACGGGUAGCCGGCCUGAGAGGGUGACCGGCCACAUUGGGACUGAGAUACGGCCCAGACUCAUACGGGAGGCAGCAGUGGGGAAUAUUGCACAAUGGGCGGAAGCCUGAUGCAGCAACGCCGCGUGCGGGAUGACGGCCUUCGGGUUGUAAACCGCUUUCGCCUGUGACGAAGCGUGAGUGACGGUAAUGGGUAAAGAAGCACCGGCUAACUACGUA
rnacentral:rRNA from 1 species